rnacentral:misc_RNA from 1 species
UGAUGACACCGGCUGGCUUAACCUAUUUCCUGCAGAGUUACCUCUGGUACUCAAUUUAUUGGAUUUAGAACCUUUAAGAGAAUCACUAGAUCCUGCAGAGACAGUUCUGAUCGGGAACUUUUGUAGAGGUGAUACAGAUCCAGGCUCGGAAUCACUAAACUUUGAUCCUUUGUAAGAGCUAGGGGAAAGUUUUGCUGGCAAUUGUUUUCUGGCUUGUUGUGAAGAAGGCUGAGUAGGAAUGGAGCUGCCUCUAGCAGCAAUUCUCUUUUGCCUCUCUAAUUUCAAAGCUUCUAGACGUUUUAUCUCCUCCUCUUCCUUCUCUUUCUUCAUUUUCUGGAGAUCAGCUUUGAAGGUUCUGAGCCUCUCAGCACGUGCCUUGGCUUCAUCCAAAGGACUCAACUUUGAAGGUUUCCCUUUCCU